GAUGAACGCUGGCGGCGUGCCUAAUACAUGCAAGUCGAGCGAAUGGAUUAAGAGCUUGCUCUUAUGUAGUUAGCGGCGGACGGGUGAGUAACACGUGGGUAACCUGCCCAUAAGACUGGGAUAACUCCGGGAAACCGGGGCUAAUACCGGAUAACAUUUUGAACCGCAUGGUUCGAAAUUGAAAGGCGGCUUCGGCUGUCACUUAUGGAUGGACCCGCGUCGCAUUAGCUAGUUGGUGAGGUAACGGCUCACCAAGGCAACGAGGCGUAGCCGACCUGAGAGGGUGAUCGGCCACACUGGGACUGAGACACGGCCCAGACUGCUACGGGAGGCAGCAGUAGGGAAUCUUCCGCAAUGGACGAAAGUCUGACGGAGCAACGCCGCGUGAGUGAUGAAGGCUUUUGGGUCGUAAAACUCUGUUGUUAGGGAAGAACAAGUGCUAGUUGAAUAAGCUGACACCUUGACGGUACCUAACCAGAAAGCCACGGCUAACUACGUGCCAGCCGCCGCGGUAA
rnacentral:rRNA from 1 species